GGGCCCGUAGCUCAGCUAGGUAGAGCAUCUGGCUUUUAACCAGGUGGUCGGGGGUUCAAACCCCCCCGGGCCCG
rnacentral:tRNA from 1 species